CAAGCAGGCCGCCUUAUCGCUUCACGGAACGGUGAAGAGGAAAGUCCGGACACCAGAGGGCAGCAUAGCGGGUAACGCCCGUCAUCCGCCAUGGCGGAGAGGACAAGUGCAACAGAAAGUAUGUACAGGUAAUGCUGUAGUGAAACCAGGUAAACUCUAUGCGGUGAAAUGCCAUGUAUACCGGCUAUAAGUAGGGCUGCCCGCCCGAUGCCGGGGGGUAGGCAGAUUGAGCGUAAUAGUAAUGUUGCGCCUAGAUAAAUGAUAAGGCUCUAUUUAUUAGAGACAGAAUCCGGCUUACAGGCCUGCUUUUAUU
rnacentral:RNase_P_RNA from 1 species